rnacentral:rRNA from 1 species
CCUACGGGGGGCAGCAGUGAGGAAUAUUGGUCAAUGGACGAGAGUCUGAACCAGCCAAGUAGCGUGAAGGAUGACUGCCCUAUGGGUUGUAAACUUCUUUUAUAUGGGAAUAAAAUGUUCCACGUGUGGGAUUUUGUAUGUACCAUAUGAAUAAGGAUCGGCUAACUCCGUGCCAGCAGCCGCGGUAAUACGGAGGAUCCGAGCGUUAUCCGGAUUUAUUGGGUUUAAAGGGAGCGUAGGUGGAUUGUUAAGUCAGUUGUGAAAGUUUGCGGCUAAACCGUAAAAUUGCAGUUGAAACUGGCAGUCUUGAGUACAGUAGAGGUGGGCGGAAUUCGUGGUGUAGCGGUGAAAUGCUUAGAUAUCACGAAGAACUCCGAUUGCGAAGGCAGUUCACUGGACUGCAACUGACACUGAGGCUCGAAAGUGUGGGUAUCAAACAGGAUUAGAUACCCCUGUAGUC